UGUGGGGAGGUUAAAAAUCGUAACAAGGUUUCCGUAGGUGAACCUGCGGAAGGAUCAUUGUCGAUGCCUUACAUGCAGACCAACACGUGAAUCAGUUUGAACACAUAGGGUUGGUUUGAGGUGUUCAACACCUCGGCUUGCCUCUGGUUCGGAGGAGGACGAUGUUGUGCGUUCUCCUUUGUGCCAAAACACAAACCCCGGCGCUGAAUGCGUCAAGGAAUUUAAAAUUUGCUCUGAGCGCACCUGCAUGGCACCGGAGACGGUUUUCGUGCGGGUUGUGUUCUGACACAUAAUAUAGAAUGACUCUCGGCAACGGAUAUCUAGGCUCUUGCAUCGAUGAAGAACGUAGCGAAAUGCGAUACUUGGUGUGAAUUGCAGAAUCCCGUGAACCAUCGAGUCUUUGAACGCAAGUUGCGCCCGAUGCCAUUAGGUUGAGGGCACGUCUGCCUGGGCGUCACAUAUCGAAGCCUCUCGCCAAUUUCCUAUAUUGAUAGGGGUAUUGUGCAGGGCGAAUGUUGGCCUCCCGUGAGCUUUAUUGCCUCAUGGUUGGUUGAAAAUCGAGACCUUGGUAGGGUGUGCCAUGAUAGGUGGUGGCUGUGUUACGCACGAGACCAAGUAAGUCAUGUGCUGCUCUAUUGAAUUUAGGCCUCUUUUACCCACAUGCGUUUCGAAACGCUCGUGAUGAGACCUCAGGUCAGGCGGGGCUACCCGCUGAAUUUAAGCAUAUCAAAGACCGGGAAAGGAAUCA
rnacentral:rRNA from 1 species